CAGUCGCCGCGGGAACACGAAGGGUGCAAGCGUUACUCGGAAUUACUGGGCGUAAAGCGUGCGUAGGUGGUGGUUUAAGUCCGUUGUGAAAGCCCUGGGCUCAACCUGGGAAUUGCAGUGGAUACUGGGUCACUAGAGUGUGGUAGAGGAUAGUGGAAUUUCCGGUGUAGCAGUGAAAUGCGUAGAGAUCGGAAGGAACAUCUGUGGCGAAGGCGACUAUCUGGGCCAACACUGACACUGAGGCACGAAAGCGUGGGGAGCAAACAGGAUUAGAUACCCGAGUAGUUCCUGUCUCUUAUAC
rnacentral:rRNA from 1 species